rnacentral:lncRNA from 1 species
UAUUCCCCCUAACUUAGUUGUUAAAUGGCCUAUAAUUAGCUUAGCUAUCUCCAAAAUGGCUUAAUAAGCGUAGUUAGCGCUAAAUGACAUAUUUAACCCGAGUUAGCUCUAGAAUGAUCUAUAAUUAGCUUGGCUUCCACCUAAAUGACAUAAUUAGCUUGGUUAGCUCCAAAAUGGUGUAUUUAAUAAUAAAUGACCUAUACUUAGCUAAGUUAUCUCCGAAAUGACAUAAUAUGCUUAUGUAGCUCCAAGAUGACCUAUUCCCCCUAACAUAGCUAUUAAAUGGCCUAUAAUUAGCUUAGUUAGCUACAAAAUGGCUUAAUAAGCAUAUUGAGCUCAAAAAUGACAUAUUUUUUCCUAACUAGCUCCAAAAUGACAUAUACUUGGCUUCAUUUCAUCCUAAAUGAUGUAGUAAGCUAAAUUAGCUCCAAAAUGACCUAUACUUCUCUUCUUCAUCUAGUCUUCUUCUUCAAACUUACUUAUUUCCCAUUUUGCAGAUUACAUUCACUUCACAGAACCUUGGAUUAUAUUGAUGGAGUGCUUCAAUAUGGUUUCUUCAAAAUGGCUUCACAGAAGCUUGGACUGAAACUAUUAUAGUAAAUGGAUAUGAAACUUUGUAUGUAUGGCUGAAACUAGUGUAAUAUAUGGUUUGGUACGGAUGAAACUUGCAUAAUAUGUAUGUAUUAUGGAUGAAAUUUAUUUUAAUAUGGUUAUGAAUAUGGGGCAGUUUGUGUGAAAUACAUUAUGUGUUAUGGAUUAUGGAUGAAAUUGUCAAAUAUAUAUUAUGUAUUAUGGAUGAAACUGUCAAAUAUAUAUAUAUAUUCCUUAUUUCUUUGAAAAUUGCUGGAUAUUCUAAAAAAUAAAAUAAACAGGGGAAGUUUGGACCUUUUCCCGUCUGCCCAUCGAUGGUAAAGGAGUUACAGCAGACGAGAAGGGCCCAAACUGGCAUGUUGAAGCAAACUGGGUCCCCCCUUUGCCGUGUGCCAUGCUUGUGGGCAGACGACAAAGGGGCAAAGGGCAGAAGGCAAAUCCUCCAACGAAAGGGGCUUGGUGUCACCUUUGCCGACUACCCACCAGCAUGGCAGACGGUAAAGUCUCUGUGGGCCGAACAGGCUGUCGUUAACACUUGACGGAGGUGCCUGCGGAUCUGUCAUCCCAUAUUCUUUGCCUCCUGCCCCGCAUGGAAAAGAUCCUUUGCCGUCAGCAAGCCCAAUGCAGACGACAAAGAGGCCCUUCACUGGUUUUUUGUUUGAUGUCCAGUUUGCCGUCUGGAGAUGGACGGAAAAGGCCUUUGCCGUCCGGGGUGUCCCCCUUUGUCGUUUUCCAUGGCAGAUGGCAAAGUACCUGAUCCCUGUAGUGGCACUUACUGGAGGGCUUGUGAAUGAAAACCUUGUCUAGCAGCCUUAUUCAUGGAAGGACUAUAAGACUGCCAACUUUCAACUCAGGCGGAUGAGUUUAGCUAGUAGUUGUAUGUAAUGCCCCAAGAGUGUAUCUUUACCUUUUUGGUACCUUCUCUAUGUGGGUCCAACUUGUCAUUGACAUGAGGUUAUGCAAUUUGAUAUUUCAUGUGAAGCUCCCCUUGUUUAUUUCUUCCAUUGCAUGCAUGCAUUCCAUAUCAUUCCAUGUGUUAUGUGUGAUGCCUUGUGAUCUUAUGUGUUUGUGUGAUCCAUGGUGGUGUGGUGAUGUGAUGGGUUAGCUUGUGUGGAGUAUGCAUGUGUUAGUAGGAAUCACCUUGUGAUUUGAAUAGGUUUCAAAACCAUCGUCCCCCCUCUCUAUUUCAUCUCAAGGUCAAGUUUCACUUGAUCCUUUUCUGUUUUAAAAAUGUCCCUGAUUUAGCUUAUGUUUGUGGUGAAUUUGUAGUUGUGUAUUGCUGUUUUGGAUAGGUGUGCAAAUGGUGCAAAUAGAUAUAAAACAGACUCCAAUAAAUCUGUUUUGUAAAUAUUUAGUUGCACCAGAUAUUCAUUUUAUAAUUUAUUCAAAUAGGUCAUAUUUUUCCAUGACCAGGGGUAUUUUUGUUUUGUUUUUAUUCCCAAUAGUUUAGUCUGUGCUUUCUUUUCUUUCUCUGUCUAUUUCUGUAAAUGGAAAACCCCCAAGGGUUUUAUUUCUGUCUAUGUUGUGCCACAAGUGGGCUCCCUCCCUCGUGUGCGUCCCAAUUCCUCUCACCCCGCGCGACAGCCCGGGCGUAUGACCGCCUUCCUCCUCCUGAUGUCGUCUUCUUCCCCGCAUCCUUUCCGUCAGACUAGCCGAGAGAGAGAGCGAGCCGCCGUGAGGGCUCAAACGUCGAGGCCCCCCAUAAAUGUGUUGGCGUCCGUGCCCCCUCUUCCUAGGGUUCCUCCUCUCCCAUCCGCCGCCGCCACUCCUUCCUCCAUCCCCAUCUAUAUCUCUUUUCCCCCUCAGGUGAGUCUGUGUAGUGUCUAGCAGAGAGAGAGAAGGUCGCCGGCGUCGUCUACCCCGCUCCCGUCGUCGUCCGGCGCCGCCACCAUGUCAGGGGCUCGGGGAUGCUCCCCGCGCUCCAUUCCCGCUGUCGGUGAGGUCGAGGAGCGACCUCACCGACGGGAAGGAGCUCGCCAUCGGCUCGGGCCCGGUGGUCUCCGUCCUUCUUCUUCGGUUCGGCACAGCGACAUCUUCUUCCUCUCAGAUCGGCUACUUCCCCUCCAGCCUGCCUCCUCAUCCGAUCGGCGCCCCUUCUUCCUUCCCUAGAUGAGGAUCCUCUCCUCCCUCCUUCCCCCUCGAGUAGAUCGGGCGGUGAUCGUCGGCGCACCUCUGUUCUGAGAGGAGAUCUUGUGAGCAUGUGUGUGUUCCAUGUUGUGUGGGCUCGGUAGACGUGAGUGCAGAGCAGGGUCUUUCUCCCCCUCGUAGUAGUAGCGUCGAAGCGUAGUGGUUCUUCCCGAGGCGCAGCAGCAGUUGCAGAGCAGCCAUGGCGGCCUCCCUGUUGUCCCCGGCGUCUCUGCGUGCAGCAAACAGAGCAUCUGCUUGCCUCGCAGUAUACCUUGGUUUAGUCCCUUCCUCUGUCGAGAUCCCGUGCAUAGCCUAGUGGUAGAGCAGUGCUUGCGUUGCUGUGGUGCAGGUCGUGGGUUCGAUUCCCCCUUGACCCCCUUUUUGCUUAUUUCAGCACAAUGUAGUUUCAGUAGUAGCAGAGCAGGUUAACUUUCUUAGCCCCCCAUCUCUGUUGAGCAAUAGACAGUAGCCCAGUGGUAUGCUGCAUAGUUGUGAUCCAGGAGGUGGAGGGUUCGAUUCCUGCCCCCUCCUUUCAUUUUUCUCUUUUGCAUUUUUGAGCUAUAGGCCUUUGACUUGUGUAGAUAGUGCUGUGGUGUGCUUUACAUACAUGAGGGUAUUAUUUUUAUUUCCCUCCUCUCAAAAUCAGCAUGUGGUGCAUAGAGAAUUUGCUAGUUUGUGAUUAUAUAAUAUGUGGGUGUGUAGGUUUACUUGGUAAUAGAUCAUGUGUGGGUUGUUUUGCAUACAUGCAAGCAUAGUGUUGUGUGUGUGUGAUGGCACUAGGAGUGCAUGUGUGGUUUAUCAUGUGUAGGAGUGCAUGUGUAGGUAUGGGUGCAUGAAGAUAUAUGUUGCUAGUUCAUGUGUGUAGAUGGGGUAUCCAUGUGGUGCAAGUGAGAAGCAUAUGUGGGUGUAUUUCCCAUGAGCAUGUUGGAUGUGAUGUAUGUGUGUGUUUGUGUGCUAUGUGUGUGUGUCUCACACAUGCCAUGGCCUGAAGUGCCAUGAUAAGCACAUGAGUUGGAUGGUGUAGGUGCUCUUAAGCUUAUGCUUGUUGUAGGUGUGUGGGUAUGGUGAUGUGCUAGGGCACACAUACAUGAGGUCAAAACCCUCAUGUUACCAUUGGCCUUGUGAGAGUGUGCAAUAGCUUGUGUAGGUGUAGCUCUAGUGAAUAGUACAUGUGAUGAUGCACUAUUCACUACAUGUGAUCCUAUGCAAGAUUUCUUUUCUAGUUUGUGCUCAUUUGUUACAUGCAAGUGCAUAGGUUUUAUAUAUGUUUUUGGGGUAGAAUCAUCCCAGGAAUCCAUUGGUGAAGUCAGUUUUUCCAUUGGAACACUUUCUGGAGAUGACUUAUUUCAGUUUUGUUCUAUGUUUGGAGCUUGGUUCCAUGAGAUGUGGUGAGCCCAAUAGUUUGAUUCUUGGUUGUGGCAGUAGAGGGUGACCCCCUCUACCACAUGUUGAUUUUGUUUCAUGCUUAGGAACCCAUAUGUGCAAGUUUGCCCAAUCAAAGUAGGCAUGUGGCUGAAAUUCCAGAUUAGUGAAAAUCUGUGAUUUUCACUAAGUCUGAGAAACUGCUUAUAUUUUCUUCUCCUGUUGAUGAGCUUGUGCGGUUCAAUGUGUUGUGAUUCAGCCUUAGCUUUCAACUGGGAAGUUGUAGCUUAUGUGUUUUUCUAGCUCCUUGUAAAUUUUCAUUUCAUUUGGAGUCCUCUAGAUAUUUUUUUGGGUGCUGUCAAAAUGCUUCAGAGCAUAAACAGCCAGUGAGAAUCUGGAAUUUUCACUAAGUCCGUGAAAACUGCUGUUUUUGUCCAAGUUAGCAGCUGUGUAACUUUCUGUGUGAAACUCCUUUGCAUUAUCUUUUUGCUUGUGCUUGUAGUACUCUUGGAUAGCUACUGUCACAUAUCUUAUUUGGCAUGUUUGGGUGGCUGUAGGUGCUUGGCAUGUGGCUCUCAAAGUGCUAUGAUGCUGUUUAGAGCAGAUUGUGAGCUACAGGGACUCAGCAAUCUCAUUUCCAAACGUAUCAAGACUAGGAAAGCUUAAUGGGUGAGGUAAGGUUAAGUGGUGAGGCUGCUGUAGCGACUAAGCAUUUAUUUGAGGUGUCUAACUUACGAGUACAAGAAUAAAAGAGGGGGAUGAUCUACGCAUAGAGGACGUGAAGUACUCAUGAUCAAAUGAAUGAUCCUGAACACCUACUUACGUCAGACAUGACCCCACCGUGUCCUCUUCCGGAUACAUAACUCGUGAGAAGAGACAGUCAAGGUUACGCACACAGUUGACAUAUAUUAAUGAAGUAGCCGAAACUAAGGUGACAAAGGUGGAACAAAACAUAAGGCUAGAAAGCUGAGCCUUCCACCUUUUACCAAGUAUAUAGGUCCAUUAAAUUAAUUAGCAAUUAUAUGGUGAUAUAACAAGAAAGCCAUGUUAUCACAUGGAAGCAACGACACAUGCAACUAGCAACGCUAGCGCAUGGUUAAGCAAGCGGUAACAUAGCCAAUGAGUGGUUUGCUAGGUUGUAGAAAGGUUGAAGGUUUCAUGGCAGUGUUGAGAGGCUGACAUUUAACAUGUGGCAGGCAACGAGACAUAAAGAAAGAAAUGAGACAACUAGCAUGGCAUUGAUAGUAAUGGUAUCUAGGGAAAUAGUCAUCUUACCUAAGAUCCUGCUCGGAAGAAGAACGAAUCCAUGAAGCAGACAAACCAACGUAGUCAAACGGAUCCUCACAUUCCAACACGCUUGCGGAACUCUAUCGAGAAGAAGCAAACCGGAAACAAGAAUCAACAGACAAUAUUCACCAUGGCACAUACACGAUAUGAUGCACAACCUAAUAUGAUGCAUGUCCAUUUCAAUUAUGCAAGGCAAGGCAUGGCAAUUCACAACAAUCAAACACUACACAUUAAGCGAAGCUCAAUAUGCAACGAGUUGCAUAUUGACGAAACUCCACAUACGAAUUAUUUAGUUCACUCCCUUUAGGUGCACGACAAUAUUAAAUGUUAUCUAAACAUGGAAAGAGGAGAAGUAUGUGAUUCUACAUGAUAUUCUACUCGGUUAACACCUAAGAACAUUGAACGGAGCUACAGUUAAAAGAUACGUACAACACAGGAUAUUAUGCCAUGAAUGCAACAUGCAUGCAAUUUUAUGAAAACACUGGCAAGAAGGAUAUGAAGCAUGUGUCGUCAUGGCAAACGAAAGGGAACCAUGGCAUCAAAAUGGAAACGAUGCCACAACAACGUUUCAGGCCCAAUAACUUGAUGAGAUACCGGUGCCAACGAAUUGGGAGCAUGUGCGUGUCAUCCUAGAGAAUGAUGGGGUGAUCCCGGUUACCGGGUUCCCAUGUGCCGGAGGCAUGAAUAUGGGGUACCUACAACUAACAUGGCAUCUACGAAUGACAAAACAAAGUCCUUGGUGGGUUGAUCAAAAUAAAACAAAACAAAUUAGGGGUGGCCUGGGAUUUGACCACCAAACACCUCGGGUGAGUGCUCGCAUUUGCAACCAGUUGGGGGUAGUUACUAGUUCUGAUUAAAAGGGAGCAUGGGCACAAUUUGAGCAACCUACAAAAGGUCGAUCUUAAAUCAUGGCAUGACGGAGGCUCUGCUGCUGAGAGGAGCACAUAGCGGCUGCUACAGCUCCAGUACGCCGGUGAGCGUGCGGAAGGAGGUUUGUCGUUGGCUGGGAGGCCUAGCUGAUGCUCGCGGUUGAUGCAGGCGAGUCAAUGCGCUGAGCCCGCUACAUCUGGAUCCAAGAAGGGGCGAGGUAGGAGACAGCAACACGGGACUUGGCACGGCGAUUCAGACAACAGGAAUGAUGCAGAUGCCGCUUAGACAAUGUCAGGGACGGAACGGAGGCGAGAUCCGACAGGUUAACGACGACGGCGUCGCUCCAUGGCAUCCUCGCGUUAUGCAUACACGAGAUAGAGAGAGAGUCGCGUCAGAAAAAGCCAGGGAGGAAGAUUAGAAAGAGAAGGGAGAGCUGGGGCACACGGUGACGUGCGGGGCUUCAGGCAGCGGAGACCUGUUGGCACGGCGGCCGACGGGGUCCAGUAAGGCGGGCCGACGUAGCUCAAGUGGUUGGCGCAUGGCUGCCAGGUCGAGCGCGAGGGAGAGGCAUGGCGCUGCGGCUUGGGUUGACAGCGGCUACACGGGCGCGAGCGCAGCUCCUGGGGGUCUGGCUGGUCACCGCGAAUGGCUGCGGCCUUCGGCGACGAGGGACCUCGGGCCCCGCGGAAACACAAGCGAAAGGCAGCCGCCUCGAUCCGAUCCGAAGCGAGCACUGCGGGAGGUGGAGGCAUGGGAAACUGGAGAGAGCCUGGUCUUUGGAUAACAGAUCUGACGGUCUAGAGGGGGAAUUGGAGGUGGUUGUGGAUUGGGUCGGGUGAUUUGGUAGGUGGAGGUUGCAGCUCGCGAUCCGAGGAGGGCCACGACAGGUUUGGUGGCUGUGUUGUUCCGGAAUGGGGCUGGGGCUAGGGCUAGGGUCUCAUCUGAAAUUCAUAUAUGGUGGCCUAUAUAUAGGGAAAAGAAACUACCUCAGGACCCUUCGAUCGUAAUUGAAUGGUCGCAGUUAAAUAGGUUAGGGGUCCAAUGGACAAAUCGAAGAUGGUUUGCGGUACUAUGGGGUUGAUCCGGACCUAACGGUUACAACCGCCGUGUUCGGGUCCGGGAGGAGUUUCCGGACUAGGUUGCAGGCAGAGUCGAUGCAUUGUCCACAGGGGCUAGGCGGGGAUGAGAGGGAAAACAGGCAACCCAGCGACAUAUUUAUCCUGUAGGAAUAAUCUAAAAACCAAUUUUAAAAUAAAAGAAAAAGGGGUUCAGCCCCUGGCCUAGCUCGGCCAGGAGCUCGGCUAGUCCAGCUGGCCAAUCAGCCAACCAACCAACCAGCCAGCACAGGCGUGACACGCGGGCCCCUGUGGUCAGCGAUAGAGAGGGGGAGAGGGGGAGAGACUGGCCACCGACAGGUGGGACCCCCCUGUCGAGGUCGUCUUCCAUCUCCAGACAGAGAAGAGGGAAGGCACGCCGGCGGCGACUCCGACAUCCUCGUUGCCAACUAAGCACAAAAACAAGCUCGUGGCAUCUCCGCCUACCUGGUGGGGUUCGAGAGAACGACGGGGAGGGCCUGCGUCACCGGCGACGACGAGACCAUGGUGGAGGAGCUUAGGGUUGUGGUGGAGGAGGGUGUUCCGAGCGGAGAGAAGUUCGAGGGAGUGGUGGAGAAGAUCUCUGAGCUCACUACGAUCACUAGGAAGGCGAGAGCAGCUCGAGAGCGGACAUGUAGCCCGAGAUCGAUGGAGCUCCGACGGGGCGGCGCCUCGGUUGAUCUCAUGCACCGGGGCUCUCCUUUCUCAAAUGGUAUUCUAGGGGAUCGACUUGAGGAGGGGAGGAAAGGUGUGAGGUGCAAGAAUGAGGGGGUAGGCCUAUUUAUUGGCUGGCGAUGGGGCACCGAGUGGGGGAGCACCGGUGGUUUUAGCCACGGCUGGAGGAGAGGGAGAGAGGACUCGUGGCCGAAAACACGGUUUACGACCGUGGUUUAGGACUUUCGCAGACGCAACGGCAGGAGCGGGGGAGGCUGUGUAGGCGUGCUACGGGGCUGCGUCCUCCUGACCGAAUCGGGCUCGCGUGGGCACACGUUGCCUGCGUCAAUGGAAAGUGGGGAGAAGGGGCCCUGAGGCUGCCCUGAGUCGGGUCUUUGUUGGGGGUGAGGAGAGGCAUCGUGGGGAGGUGAGAACCGGCCCGGGCUGGCCUCCCUAGCCUCGGGUGCGCUCUGUAGCGUGUCAAGAGCGCAGCUUUGGCAUGCCACAACAUGCUGGUGCGGUCUGGCCUGCUUUGGCUUUGUCUGGGGUGUCUGUGGGGUGGUUUAUAUGCCCUCCAGUUGCUAGGAAACGAAAGAAGCAGUGCUGGUCAAAGGGGGGGGGGGUUCUUAAAGAGGUUCUGCCAGCAUUGUACGAGGAGCUAAAUUGGGGUUUUUGGAUCACUUACUUUGAACUAGUAAGGGGCCACUCGUCUAAAGUUGAGGAGUGGUGCUGGCAGUUUGUGCAACGAGUUUGGAGUGAAGGGUGUGUGUGUACAGAGUGCUAGAUGCUAUUUGACCAAUCUGGCUAAAGGUGUUUGACUUGGGUUUGGGGCAGCUAACCUUCACCAAUGAUGCUCAAAGUUAACAGGAUUGUGUUUUAGGCAAAAUUAGGAUGCUCUACCUUAUUUGAGCUCCAUUGGACAAGUUUUGUAGUGUAAACUUGAAAACGACCCAAAUGGACAGUUCUGCUUUAUUAAAAGAAAAUAUGAGCAAAUUAAUCCUUACAAAUCCAAUUAUUUGCACGAUCUCCUCAUUUUGGGUAUUAAGCACUCCUGCAAAGGUUUAGGCCAUUUAGACAAAAUUUGCUAUGUAGAGUGCGUGCAAUUUGAUUCUAGACAGGAAGGGUUUUAAGAUUAUUUGGUGAACCAGGCACCUUGGAAUGAGGUGAAAUUCGGUAUGCCCAUCAAAUGUAGCUUGGGGAGCAUGCUCGCACUUUUUGGGAAAUUAUUGAGAAUAUUUUCUUUGAAAAUAUUUCAAAAGGUCAAAAUAGACAGAAUGGGUUUUCAAAGGUUUCCUCAGAUAUAUUGAACAUAAAUAGGGGUUGAAAAUCUUAUGUAUGGAAACCAUAUGUCCUUUGAGUAUCUCCAAAUUUUGUUAGAUUUUUCUAAGGUAGAAAAAUAAUUUUCCCCUCAGAAAUAUGAUUUCUGGCCUUAGAAAAGGACAUGCUAAUAAAAUAGAAACUUUUUUUAUAAAAUAAAUAUUUUAUGAUUUUAGAGAGUUAUAAUAGUUCUAGAAUCAAAAUACAAUCUUUGGGUGAAGGCACCCCCUUGAAAUCAGGGACUUGUAAUGCAAACCCCAUAGCAAGGUUUUGAAUUAACAAAAAUGGGAAAAGGAUUUUUAUGAAAAUAUUAUAUUAUAAAAAUUAUUUUUAGAUCCACACAUUCAAGCAUACAUACAAUCAAUGUCAAUCAUGGCACUCAUAGCAUUUGCUUAAAAAGUUUUAACUAAAUCCAAAUUCGAAAGGACAAGAGGAUAGGCAAAGUGAAAACAAGGUGUGACAACACGCGGCUGCGACGUCAUUAAAAUAUUGUUUUAAAAAGUGCGCAUAAAACUUUCAUUAAUUGGGUUGAAAGUUGGCGUGCGAUCUUAUUAUCAUAUAGGUAGAUCCCUUGCCAAAUUUCGUCGCAAUCGGGGUCCGUUUCAUACUCGAACCGUUAAACAACACUAUAGCGUGUCAAAUUGCACAUGUUUCGGUAUUCUAAACUCUAUCGCCGGGCUGCCUGUUUUUCCUCUCUUUUCAUGUCUCGCCUAUCUGUACAAUAACCCCACCUCCCCGCAACUUAGUCAUAAACUCCCCGUGGACCCGAACCGAGCGGUCAUGAUUGUUGGGUCCGGAUCAACCCUAUAAUACUCAAACCGUCGUCGGUUUUUCAUUUGGACUUUCUAACCAAUUUUUUCGACCACCAAAUCAAGAUUGGAGGGUCUAAACAUAGCCAAACCCUACUAUUUAUAUAUGAAAUCUAGAACUAAUCCUAGCCUACCCAGUCCCAUCCGUCUCUCUGUUCGCCUCCGCCGCUCCCUCGUCCUGCCUCGGUUUCCAGAUCCACCCAAGCAGAGCCUCCCUCGGGAUCCCCUCGCAGCCAACCAGUGCUCAGCGUCACCUCCUUGUAUGAUCUUAUACACACGCUCGAGAGAAUCCCGAGGCCUCCGAGACGAAGCCAAAAGCGCCAUUGCUGGAGGUCCAAGCCACGGCCACCUCUCCUCCAGAAGACCAGGGCCGCGUGCCCGAGCGCCGCUGCUGCCGUGCGCCUCCCACCUCGCCAUUGUCAUUCGCCUCAUUGGAGAAUGGACCUUGUUAGAUCCAUUGACACCGGUGAUCACCUCCAGCAGGCCCGUACCACCCCUUUAUUUCUCCGUCCUGUCUCCCUCCCUCUAAUUCUUUCACUGUCUCUCUCUCUCAAUUUUCCCCUCUCCAUGUGUCUCUUGUUUAGGAACACAACCAUGGCCAAAGCUUCAAUGCACUGCCCCGCUUUGUCUCCGCCCCAAUGGAGCUCCACCGCAACCCUUGCCUCGGAUGCGCCUGAUUCCUCCUGGCCCCAUUGCCAUGACGCCCGUGACAUCCUCUUCUGCAUCGCGAUGACCUGAUGUUGCGUCUAUUCUUGAGGCAACGGGCAGCAGCAGCUCGGCUGUUGACCAUGCCCUGCCGCGUGGACCCACCCGUUCCAACCAGUGCCAAGGCCCAGCAGUGCCCAACUCCUUCUCGUGCAGCUAUCCAAUAUCAGCAUUGCCAUGGCCGCUGGCCUCUGUCUCCCUGUCGUGAGCCCCAUAACUGAAACUUCAGCAUUUCCUAGAUCUAUUCUCGUAUAUAGAGGUUAAUUAGGAUUGCCGCUCUAUUUAUCCACAAGAGCUUCGAAGCCCAGCUGGUUAGCUCGUUCUCGGUUCAAUUCCCGCGUGCACUAAUAUUUUGCCUAGGUUUUUUAUUUAUUUGCACAGACAUAUACACACCCGCAUGAGCCAAGUUAGUUCUUUUUUGAGCCAGAUUUGUAUUUUUCUGCACUGAGAUAUAACACUUAUUAAUGGCCAUGCAUAGUUUAAAAAAACACUGUUUUAAAAUUGUUAAUAUCUAUUUAACGUUCAUCUGAUUAAAAUGAAUUAUACAUGGAAAAUGUUCAGAAUUUCGUGUAGAUUUAUAAUAUCCAACUCUCACAUGUGUUUAAGAUAUUUACCUUGCUCUUUUCACUUAAUUUGCACAAAUGCCAUGUUGAAAUGAUUUAAUUCAUAACUAAUUAACGUAGCUUCGAUUAAAAUGUUUCAUAUAUGUAACUUGAUUAGAACAAUGUGUAGGAUAACUUGGUGACAUUUAUUUUGCUGUUUAAAAACUAAAAAAUUGUGUUAUAGGUAGAAAAUUACGAAAAUCUUAAUUGGCAUAUGGGGAUUUCCGGAACUGAUAUUCCUUGUUCUGGCCUCAAUUAAAAUUGCCUAGAAUUUCAUGUAGUUUCACAAUAUCUCGUUCAUCAUGUUUUAACAUGCUUGUGACCGUCAUUUGCAUACAUUUUGCAUUCAUGGCAUAUUAUCUUGUGUUUCUCAUAUCUUUUGGACCAUAGACCUGUUUAAAUAAUUUAUAUAUGUAAAUCAACUAGAAAUACGUGUAGAAUCACAUGGUCCACUUUAUUUUGUUUUUUAAUAAAUAUAAAAUGUGUUUAGUUCAGAUCUGGAGUUUUUUUUAAAUUAACAUAUGAGGUCAUUUCGGAAAUGCUAUAUGUUGUUUCUGACCUCAUUUAAAAUGCCUAGAUAGUGUAGUUCAUUUAUGCUUCACGUCUUGCCAUGUUUAACAACAUUUAACAUUGUCGAGUACCUAAACGGUGGUGAACUAAAUAAUUCAAAUGUGGAGUUUGGUCAAUAUGCAACGAGUUGCAUAUUGAACUUCAUUUAAUAUGUACUGAUAAAUUGUUGUGUUUUGUCAUGUCGUGCAUAAUUAGGUGGACAUGCAUCAUAAUUGCUUGCACAUCAUGUCAUGAAUAUGUUGUGGUGUUUAUCAUGUGUUGAUUGUUUGUAUCCAAAUUAUUUCUUCUCAAUAGAGUUCGGAACCACUUCGAAGUGUGAGGAUUCAUUCGACUACGUUGGUUCGUCUGCUUCACGGAUUCGUUCUUCUUCCAAGCGGGAUCAGAGGCUAGAUGAUCAUUUCCCUAGAUAUCACUACUAUCAUUGCUAUGCUAGUUGUCUCGUUUCUAUAGCUAUGUCUCGCUACCUACCACGUGAAUGUCAGCCUCCCAACAUUACCACUAAAAGUCUCUAAUCCCUCCACAUUCUAGCAAAACCUCUCUUUGGCUAUGUUACCGCUUGCUCAGCCCUUCUUAUAGCGUUGCUAGUUGAAGGUUCUGUUGCUUCCAUGUGAAAACAGGGAUUUCCUGUCAUAUCACCAUACAAUUGAUAUUUAAUUUAAUGCACCUAUAUACUUGGUAAAAGGUGGAAGUCUUGGCCUUCUAGCUCGGUGUUUUGUUCCAUCUUUUCCGCCCUAGUUACUUCUGUACCAGUGUUAUGUUUCAUAAUUGAGCGCUCCUAACAUGCUUGGGGUUGUUAUAGGGACCCCCUAGUCCCUAGAUUUUUGUUUUGGGAUAAAACUCGUCUGGCAAGGCCCAACAUUGGUACUAUAUUUCCCCAACAUAAUAAUAUUGAUCAUCGUUAUUAAAACAUAGGGCGUCAUGAACCCGAGGAGUAAUUCAACAUAAUACAGGGAGGUCCAGUGCCGAUGGUGCUGGUCCUAAAUAGAGUAUUGUGCAGGGCCAACCCAAGGCAACGUAUCUUGUUGCCAGGACAUGACGGAUAAGGUACAUGUACGGAGGACUGAUAUAAAUCACCCAGGUUGAGGGUUUCCACCAGGAAUCCGAGGAGAUCAUGCGUUUUCCGUGGUCGAGGUUUCCAAUGUGGCUUGUGGUAGUUUGUGAUGGACUAGUUGGAGCAUCUAUGCAGGGUAAAAUCUUUCUAAGAGCCGUGCCCGUGGUUAUUGGGCAACUUGGAAACUUUGUUUAACACCUACUCAUAGCAAACUCGAAGUAAAUUUAAUUAAAAUAUGCGAACUGUGUGUGUAACCGUGAUUGUCUCUUCUCGUGAGUUCUUAUCCAAGAGAGAACACGGUGGGUGUAUGUCUGACUCGUAAAUAGUUGUUCAAGAUCACUUCGACAUUAUUGUUAGUUCAUGUCUGAUUAUGCAUAGAUCACCCCCUCUUAUUCAUGCAAUCGUAAGUUAGCCACUCAAAUAAAUGCUUAGUGCUUGUUGAAGCCUCACCACUUAACCAUACCUUACUCGUUAAGCUUUGCUAGUCUUUAUACCAUUGGAAAUGAGAUCGUUGAGUCCGUGUGGCUCAGAGAUUACUACAACAACAAUUGAAGGUACAGGUAAAGUGAUAUUUUGAUGUGAGCGUGAUGAUUAUUCUUUUUGGUUUCUUCUUCUUCUUCUUCUUCAUCUAUCUAGGAUAGGUUCCAAGCCGACAGCCUUGGAUAGCAAGGAUGGACGUCAUCUUUCAUCAUUUGAUUUCAUCCGUAGUCGGACCCUCCUCUUCUACAUGAUGUUUGAAUGUAUUUUUGUAUUGAAAUGUUAAUGAUGUAGCUUGUGGCGAGUGUAAGCCAAUUUCAUAUACUCAUCUCUUCUGUACAUGUACUUGUAACAAUAUCCCUUCUUGCAAAACGGCGAGAUGCGCUUCUCUGCUUGUCGAGUCUGUGGAGCCAAAAUAAGGUUUGGAUCGCAUAUUGGGCAUUACAUCUGGACAACCUCUUUUCUCCUCUCUCUCUCUCUCUCUUCUCUCUCUCUCCUGGCUAGCUUCCAGAGCAUCCCAUUCUCUCUCCCCCUUUGUAUAAUCCCCCUGUAGAUAAAGGGCACUAGUGGCUGCGCCAGAGCGCGUCAAGGCCAUCAACAUGCCGGCCAAAAGCACACACUAGAGCGCGCUACAGGACAUCCGAGCGCUGAACUUGCUCCAUGCACAUCCCCUGGCCACCUCGAUCCCCUCCCCUCGCGCCAGUCGAGUCCCCUCGGUGUCCGCGAUAUGCCAGUGUGUCGGGAGCCGCUUCUCUAUCUCUCACCACUUGUAGCAUGUGCCCGAUGCCGCCCUGCUCGACCAAUGCGUGAGCUCGCACGCGCGCACACCACCACCUUCCCUCUUGCUUCCCUCGGUCAUAGAAGACUCCCAGUUGCAACCUCAGCUCAAAACUGAGCCCUCCCGUGGCCUCCAUCACCUCCCUAACCAACUCCGGUGACCACGCCCACGAUGCACCGACGCGUGGCUAUAUAAGUUCUUGCCGAGAUCCUCUCUCCCAUCUAGACUCCCUAUCCAUCUCUCAAUCGAGUGCCAGAACCACCCAAGCCUCCCCUCGAGAUCUCUGUGGUCGAGAUCUAUUGGAGCUCUGCCGUGGCGGGCCACCGAUGAUCUCCACGUACGACCGCUCUCCGGCCCUCCUUUCUUCUCCUGCAAACCUCCCUUGCCUCCCUGGCGUUUCCCCCUCUCUCCCACAUGGAUUGCAGCAGGGAACUUGGGAUUGCAGCUCGCCCGAUUCUCUUUCACUGCGGCCCCUUCGUCACCGGUGAAUCCGGCCACCCCAGCACCUCCCUCGACCUCAUCAAGAACAAAGCGACCUCCUGAGCCCAUUCCUGCACCCACUUCUCCUCUUCGUGCCCCGGAGCACCACCGGUAAGUGCCGCCACCUCCUUGGCUGGAGGUUGACGAUGGCUUGCCAGUGGGUCUGUCCAUUAGCCUCUUGUUUCUCCCCCUCUCUCCUCAUGCCACUGACCGCUCAGCCCCACGCAUUAGGUUUAAACCCGAUGGUUCGGUGCGCCUAGCUCGCUCGGUCUAGGUUCGCUGGUUGGGUCGGCUCGGCUAUGCUGGCUCUGGCGCAAAGGCACUUUAGCUUUUAUCUUUGACCCUUUUGUCAAUAUUCCAAAAUUCCCUUUGGCUAAAAUAAAAAUCCAAAUCAAGUAACUCUAAUUUCUAAGAGUGCCCCUUGUGCAAUUUUUGAAAAGAGAUGUAGACAUUGUUUUAUUUAAAUACAUUGUUAAAGCAUUUUAACUUUCUGUUAAAUUCCUUUUCUUAAAUUUUUACACUUAAAAACUAAAACCUAAUAAUUUUUGAAGUACUAAUACUGACUCUAGUAUUUUACAAAAAUAGGUUAACAUUUUUCCGAGUGUUAUAUUUUCCAUGUUUUCGUUGUAGCCUUAUGUUUGCCCAUUAUAUUGCAACGAGUAUAUUGUGUGGUUGACAAAGAGCUUUGAAAAGAAGGAUUUCAAGACCCCGUGGACUUUGUUGAGCUAGGAAAGCACCCCUUUGACCAUGACCAUGAACCCAUUUUAUGCAUGUCAUAUGGCACUUUACUUUGUUGCAUCUGAAUCAUGUUCAAUCAUUGAUCCCUUUGGUGGGUUGUCUCUUAUAUUUCCUCGUUGGUACUUGCAUUGCGCAUGACCCUACCAUCCUAUGGGGGUUGUGUGGGUGGGAAGUAGAUAGGAUGCUAAAGUACUUGCCAAGCAAAUGGGAUGGGAAACAUGCAUGGUGUCGGAAAGGAAAUGAUUUCAAAGACCUUUCGAAAACCCCGUCGGGUACCACUAAUGACCGAGGAAGAUGGUGCUGAGCUUGGUAACCACUUGAGUAAGAAUUGGGUAUGAGGAAAGUCAGUGUGUUAUUUUAGAAAACGAAUUGGUUUAAGUUGCGACCGUUACUCCAACCUUACAUGUACGACUACGAUACCCCUUAUGGGGUGUGGCUUUAUUGAUUACUGUGGUCGGCACUAGCUGAGAGCCUGCAUUAUUAGUGGCAGGAGUGAUGUGGUCACUCCUGAUACGAGGUUGUGCUCGAAUGGACGACCAUGGGCUAUUUUCACACACACCGAGCACACCGUUGUGUUCCCUCGUGGAGGAUACCUGUGAUGUACAUCAUGAUGGAUGGCACCAACGAGUGGACUCUUGGUUGGUAUCGUCAUGUGAAAAGUAUUAUUCGGGUACUUAUUUCGGGUAUGGAAAACACAAUGAGUCGUGGAUUGACAAGGAAGUUUCUCGAGUCUUGUGGGUAAAUCGUGCAACUUCUGCAGAAUUUAAAACUAUUUGAAUAUUCGUGUCCACGGUCAAGGAUAGUUGGAUGACCGUUCUUGCGCUACGUCCAUAAGUUUUCACAACUUGGUGUGUCUGUGUGUGAGAUAGAUGAUGGUGUGAUACUUGAUCUAAGUCAGAUGACUUGGCAUGAUGAGUGAACAUGUGUGGGGACCCCGACUUACAAGUUGAGAUUGCCGAACGAACGUGCUCAGUGAUCCCAGGGAUCAAUGCUCACCGAACACACAUAUACUGAAUAUUAAGAGGCUUACAUCCAUACGUACCGUUUGAUACAAUAAAUGAACUUAUCGGUCAAGUCUUACACAUAUAGGGCCUUGAGGGCCAACACACCAAACUGGACUAAUAGCGGAAAUAUUGGUCGAAAGCGUGAACCAAUGCCAUCAGGCUUAACCUACAUGCAUUUUGACUGGGAAGCGUCCUAGCUCGCAAGAACAUCACCAAGUUACUAUUCACCAUAGCAUGUUCUCUCAUACCUAGUCAAUGAAAUAACCAGUGGCAAGCCAAUGAGUACUUUGAAUGUACUCGCAAACAACCCAUGAUAUGGAAAAUGUAGUUGGUAUUGUAACAAGUAAUAUGAAGUAUUGGUGGAUAGCAUCUUAACUAUAAAUAAACAUGAUCAUGUGUGUGCAACAUAAGCUAGGUGGUAUUUAGAAGAGCAGGUUACAGAUAUCAAUAUACCUGUCAAGGGUUGAACACUCCGGGUUCACCCGAUAUGCCAAGUCACCAAACUUGGUCAUAUCAACUCUUUCUUAGGUAUCACCAUUAAACACACACACACACACACACACACUCACACUUGGUUUAUGCGGAAACAGCUGGACGUAGUUUAAGCCAGAUUAUCCAACUGUCCUUCACCGUGGACACGGCUAUUUGAAUAGUUUUACACUCUGUAGAGGUUGUACGCUGUGCCCACAAGAUCCGGGAAACUUCCGUGUCAUCCACGACUCACGGUAUAUAACAUACCCGAGGUAAGUACCCGCUCAAUGUGUUUCCCCUGACUUUACUAGACAAAGAGAUCCACUCGAUUGGUACCCAACCCACAUGAUGUACGUCUUAUGAGCAACGACUCUGAAUAGUAUCAUCCAUGCGGGGACCAACGGUGUGCCCGAAACACGUAAAACGACAUAGUCGCCCUACCUGGUACGUCCCCAUCAUGAGAGUGCCACACAUCACUCCCACCACUAGUAAUGUGGUUCUUUGCUAGUGUCGAUCAGAGUAAUCAACAAAGCCUCGUCCCAUAAAGGGGUAACGUGGUCGUACAUGUAAGGUUGGGACGGUCGACACAUCAUAAAUCUAUUCCCAUUUCCGAAACCAUACACACACAAAAUACCCCGUGCACCACUUCACCAAAAGUGGCCACCUAACUCAUCAUCACCCUGGGACAUUAGUGGCACCCAACGGGGUUUUCAUUAACCUUUGAUAUAUAACAUCAUCAUGCUCAUUCUUCCACUAUGCUUAGCUCUACUUGUCAACAUGACAUUAGCGUGACCCUCACAGGUGAUAGGAUCAUGCUCAAAAUGCAAGUGCUCCAGAGGAGCCAUCGGGAAUAUCACUUCAAUGAUUUACCGAUACUUAUGAUCACAUGCAACAGAAAGAUUUGUUCUACUUAGCAUCCAAUAUAAUAUAUGCUCAAACAUGGUCAAAGGGCUUUUUUCAUUGAUCACAUAAGUCCUCUGGGGCUUCAAGGUCUUCUGGUCAAACUCCGAGUACUUUGUCUACUCCGUCAACUAAAGUCGGAAACAACACAGUAAGCCAACAACAAUCAGAAACAAAAUGCUACAAAAAUGGAAUGUUAUAUUUUCCUUGGACCUAUCUGGUCAUAAGAAAAAUACUUGAAACUUGCUAUAGGAGAUUUGGAUCAUCAGGGAAUUUUGAAUGGAAGAAAGGAGGAAUAGCUGAUGGUAAAAGAAACCUACUGAAAACAUUAUGAUAAAAAUGAGUGGAGACACUUAUUUAACAAAGAGCAAUUUUAGAAACAUUUAGAAAGUUGUUUCACUGGAUUUGGAGUUGAGGUGAAUAUUCUAUGGAUUUUCUAAUAUUGGACAAAUCGCAAAAGAGGGCUAUUUAUUUAUGGCAACAGAAAUAAGUCAUACAAAAAUGUUGACCAAGGCUUCAAAAAUAGGAUCUGAUAUAAGAAGGAUCUGAAAUUGGAAUCACUCCAUUUGGAGUUGAUUUGAAUCCUCUAGGAUUUUUGAAAGGGGGUUUAGAAGCACCCAAAUAUGUAUUUAAAUAUAAAUACAUCAUAAAAGUUGUUUGGAAAAAUGUGCAAAGCACACCGCUGGAUAAACCUUGAUUUUAGGGACCUGUAGAAAUUUGAAUCAUUAAUUUUGGAGCUCAAAUGGUUUAACUAAAUAUUUUUCAAAUGUCGGGACCCCGAUCCUAAGCCAUAGGAAUCCAGCCUGUAACACAUUGCAUCCCUUUGCGGUCUCACGCACGGUUAUCCCCACGGCUGCCACCUUACCUUAGCCGGGACCGUUUGGGCCUUUUGAUCAUGUAUGCAUUAGUGUCGCUAGCAUUCCAAUGUCAAAGAACCCGGGUCGACAUAUCUUGUCAUAAACUCAAGUGGCUCGUCUGUACACAGAUAGGCAUACAUAACCCAGCAAAGCAGGUGUCGGUCAACAAUGAGUGUAGACAAGUCGUACCAAGCUACCAGGACUCCAUUACACCGCGUGACAUUUCCCCGUAGGGACAGACACAACAACUAAGAAGGAUACAUGCCGGUCAACCAAUGUGUCCGGAGCAGUAGUGAACUACCAAGGCUCGGUGGAAUCACAAAGGGGCAUUUCUCUGUAUAGAAAUAUACUAAGGCAUACGACUAGGUGUCGAAUGCCAUACAUAUCACAGUGCAUCACACGUACGCAUGACAUACUAGAUAUGCAUACAUACAACAAUGGCAUCACAACAUAACCAUAGAACAUCACGACAUUUAUUUAGAAGACUCGGAAGAGUCUUGCACAAUAUGUUCAUACAAGCAGGGGUCACACGACCCGACACUCAUAGUCAUACAAACAAGUCAUACAAACCAACGGAAGCAUAAAAGCUGUAUGAGUACACACAGUUGAAAGGAUAAGGCAUAAAGCCUGACUAUCUACAUAUCCCUUCUGAAAGGGGCCAGGUCGUAGCUGGGACACCAACUACCCGUCAUCAUCGAUGUCUAGAAAGAACCCACAUGUUGGCUCAUGGGUAUCCUCUGCAACAAUUAUUAAGCAAACACGAGUACAAGAGUACUCAGCAAGACUUUAGAACAAAUCUAUCUACUCAUGCUCACGUAUCAACAAAGGGGUUGUGGUGUUUCAUGCAGCAAGCCAGCUUUGACUCUUGGCUAGACAGCACUACGUUUUUAAAUAGUUUUGACCACUUUGUUUUCUCGCACACGAGUCCACUAACUCCACAACAAUACACCUUCAUGGAAUCAUUCCUGUCUUCCUAUGGAAAUGCCAUCCACGACACUCACAAUUAUCUUGAUACUUUUAUGAGUAGCCAUUAAUGUUGUCUAUGAACAACAUAUGUUUCCAAGUAGUCCAUAUCCGCGGACGUGGCUAUUCGAAUAGAUCAUAACCCUGCAGGGGUGUACUUCAUCACACACGCUCUCGCCACUUAUCGCUAUGUGCACCUCAUGCACCUCGGCAACCUUCAAGCAGAAGCCCAGCGAGGGAAUCAGCCACGACCAUUAACCACGCUAAUACCUAGUCCAGGUUUACCGCCUAUUUGAGAGUAACCCGCACGGAAGUCCAGCCGAGGUUUCUGCCACGGCCCCAAACGAUGUACACAUGGUUCCCAAGCCCACCAUCCGGGUGCCACUUGGUACACCGUGCCACUGCCUACCGCAUCAUAGCCCACCUCUAUGGUCAGCACUAUGCACGGCCUCCAGCAUGACUAUAAACACCAGAAACAAAGUAUCUCGUCUUGGAUUACAUACACGGAACUCAUAUUUCAGGGCCAAGCAUGUGGUAGUAUCUCGUCUUGGAUUACAUACACGGAACUCAGUUCCUAAGGACGGUUCCAAUGAAACAACCCGCUAUGUACUCCUACAUAGCCUUUCACCGGUACCUCUACCAAACCAGGUUCAACACACAACCUUUAUUAAUAGAACACAUUCUCACGAUCAUGUUCAUCACCCAGAUGACAGACCAAACACAACUCUAAGCAUAGCAUGCAUAUCAGGAUAAGGCACAUCAUGGCUCAAGCAUCUACCAGGUAUGCUAGGUUGCAUGGUUUUAGCUACUUACUGUGACCAAGACAGGUCAUGCAAAGGAAUGAGUUCAACUAACGUGGUAAAAGCAUUUGAAGCAUUUUGACCUAAUGCAAUAAAUAAGAGCAGGAGCGAGAACAUCGGAUUUAUCGGGAUGAUCAAAAUUGUUGCUUACCUUGUUGCUCAGCAGAGGGGUAAUAUCCGUCAGUCGGAUAAUCAGUCGUAUCCGGAGGGGUGGGGCCUACCGAAUAAAAACAUACAAUUAAUAGCAAUCAUAUGCAAAAAUCAUGAUGCAUGAACAUGGCAUGAAAUGAAGGGUGAUAUGAUUCAGUGUGGUUGGUGAAACCUUAAUUUGCAUCUGGUUUGAAAUCCUAAUUCAAAUAUCAUUUGAAAUGGCAUAUUUAUCUUAAUAAUUUAUUGAUUUGACCUGAUGCUGUUUCAUAACUUUGUUUUUCAUGCAUGAAAGUAGCACCAUUCUCUUCAUUGAAUUUUUCGGAUGAAUUUGCAUAUAUUAUUUGUCUGAUUUGGAGUUAUAAUCAAAUUUCUAUGAGUUUCCAAUGUUUUGAAAUUAUUCUGGAACUAUUUUAAGACGAGAAUUAGACUUAUUGCAUCAGCAUGACAUCAACACGUCAGCUGGCCGUUUGAAAGUCAAAUCUGACGAGUGGGACCCACUGGUCAGUGACUCUGGCAGCUUUAAAUUAAGUUUAAACUUAAUUAGGUAAUUAAUAGAGCUGGACCCACAUGUCAGUGACUGUUUAGGGUUUAACAAAUUCUUUAUUUUUAUUUUUAUUAAACUUAAUUAACCAGGUGGCUGGCCCCACUUGCCAGUGACUCAGGGGAGUCAACCCCACCGGCGAUGGGGUCAAACCCAUCGGCGGCGAGGCUCCGACGACCACCAGAACGGCGGAGGGCCUCGAGUUUUCUAUUCCGACGACUAAACGCAAGGCGGAAGGCACCAGAGGAACGGUUGUUCGAGCGCGGUUCCAUUUUUGCAAGGAACAGGGCUAAUAUGGCCAGAGAUGAUGCCGGCGACGAGCUCAGCGGCUGCCGGAGUUUGGGUUGCGACGAGGUCAUCGAAUCCGAGGGCAAAUCACGCGGGGUUGGGAUCCUAGAGCAUCUACGCGAUGCACUGUAGCUACCGGUGGCCUCAGAAUGACCAACCGAUCACCGGAGAGCUACUGGCGACGAGCUCCCGCGGCGGAUCUCAUCGGGCUCCGGUGGAAUCGGGGCCUAGACCACGGGAUCGAAGGGGAAAACGUGGGGGAAAUCUUCCUGGGCUAACUGGGAUUGCAGAGGCGUCGAGAUCAGGCUCGGAAGAGGACUGAGGUGGGAGAACGACGGCGGCGAGCUCCGGGGAUCUGAGGUUGAAGAUGAUGGCGUCAUGACGUCUCAGGUGUUCUCGGCGUCGAGCAGCUAGCUGGAGAACUUCAGGGGACUAUGGCGAUGCUUUUGCGCAGCUCAGGCAGGAGGGAGAGGGGCUGGAGCAACGGCAAGCUCGAGCUCAGCUCGAGCUCUAAUGGUGACCAAGAGGGGAGAGAACAGGGGGAGGAAUGAGGAGAGGAUGAGCUCGGGAGGAGGUCGCGGGAGGUUAUCCCUUCCUUGCUAGCACGAAACGGCGGCCAGACAUGCACAAGGAAGACGACAGGGCGAGCUGGGCUGGUCCAAGGGUGAGUGACAGGUAAGUUUUUUUCUAUAUUUUUUAAUUUCUGUUUUCGGUUAAAGCAUUUCUCACUUUGUUUCAUUUUAUUUUUGGCUCCAAACUAUUCCUAAAAUAGAUUGAAACACGCUAGGGUGUUAUUUGGAAUAUUUCCAAACACAUAUAAAGUUUUCAACAUUUUUGGAAACUUUGGAUUAUUUGAAAUCAAUUAUUUAGUUGAUUUCACUAACAUUUGAAUUUAAAAUAAAAUGCCAAAAGCAUUUUCAAAAUAAAUUUCACCCCUGAUAUUUUGUUUUCAACAUUUAUCGGAAGUGAUGAACUUUUAUGAUGGCCAUUUUGGGUUCAUUAAUUUGCCACCAAAUUUGAAUUGCUUUUGAAUAUAGAGUUGCUAGGGUUUGCUUUUGAUUUCAUUUCAUUUUCUUGGACGCAAUGAAGAAGACAUGAGCACAAUCUUGCUAAAGUCUAUUAGGGAUUCAGGGAUGUGACAACUCACCCCCACUGAAAAGAAUCAUGUCCCGAGAUUUGGAAGUCGUCGGGAAUAGCGCGGGAUACUCAAGUCGUAGACGAUCCUCUCUUUCCCAUGUUGCCUUUUUUCAGAAUGAUUUGACCAUUGAAAUUUAAGAAACUUGAGGUUUCGAUGUCGAGUGGUACGCUCAGCUUGAUCAAGAAUAUGAAUAGGGUAUUCUCGCUAUGAAAGGUUAUCUUGGAGAUCAUGCGUUUCGUGGUCCACUUCACGGAUAGGAUCCGAAAAGCAAGGUCUGAGUUGCGAGACGUGGAAUACUUCAUGAACCUUGGAAAGAUGCGGAGGAAGUUCCAACUGUUAGGCAACUUCUCCUCGUUUGGCAAGAAUGCGAAAAGGACCGAUGUAACGAGGAGCCAACUUGCCCUUGAUACCGAAACGAUGGGUACCCUUCAGAGGUGUAACCCGAAGGUAAGCCUUCUCGUCAACUUCAAAGGUCACAAACUUAUGAUGACGAUCAUAUUGGCUCUUUUGACGGGACUGGGCUAUUUUCAACUUUUCACGCAUAAUGCGAACUUGCUCUUCUACUUCCUGGAUCAUAUCCGGACCAAAGAGUUGCCUCUCUCCGGUUUCUGACCAAUUAAGAGGGGUUCAACAUCUUCGUCCAUAGAGAACAUCAAAAGGAGCUUUGCCCAAGAUUGAUUGAUAACUAUUGUUAUAAGCAAAUUCAGCGAAUGGAAGGCACUUCUCCCAAUUCAUGCCGAACAAUAGAACAAAAGCUCGGAGCAUAUCUUCUAGGAUUUGAUUCACUCUUUCUACUUGACCACUUGAUUGAGGAUGGAACGCAGUGCUACAAGAUAGGUGAGUCCCCAUGGCAUUCUAAAAACAUUCCCAGAAGCGAGAAGUAAAAAUACUUCCACGGUCUGAGUUAAUCUCCAGAGGAACACCAUGAAGAGACACUAUUCGAGAGAUAUAUAA